UUAAGCGACUAAGCGUACACGGUGGAUGCCCUGGCAGUCAGAGGCGAUGAAGGACGUGCUAAUCUGCGAUAAGCGUCGGUGAGGUGAUAUGAACCGUUAUAACCGGCGAUUUCCGAAUGGGGAAACCCAGUGUGUUUCGACACACUAUCAUUAACUGAAUCCAUAGGUUAAUGAGGCGAACCGGGGGAACUGAAACAUCUAAGUACCCCGAGGAAAAGAAAUCAACCGAGAUUCCCCCAGUAGCGGCGAGCGAACGGGGAGGAGCCCAGAGCCUGAAUCAGUGUGUGUGUUAGUGGAAGCGUCUGGAAAGGCGUGCGAUACAGGGUGACAGCCCCGUACACAAAAAUGCACAUACUGUGAGCUCGAUGAGUAGGGCGGGACACGUGGUAUCCUGUCUGAAUAUGGGGGGACCAUCCUCCAAGGCUAAAUACUCCUGACUGACCGAUAGUGAACCAGUACCGUGAGGGAAAGGCGAAAAGAACCCCGGCGAGGGGAGUGAAAAAGAACCUGAAACCGUGUACGUACAAGCAGUGGGAGCCUCUUAAUGGGGUGACUGCGUACCUUUUGUAUAAUGGGUCAGCGACUUAUAUUCUGUAGCAAGGUUAACCGAAUAGGGGAGCCGAAGGGAAACCGAGUCUUAACUGGGCGUUAAGUUGCAGGGUAUAGACCCGAAACCCGGUGAUCUAGCCAUGGGCAGGUUGAAGGUUGGGUAACACUAACUGGAGGACCGAACCGACUAAUGUUGAAAAAUUAGCGGAUGACUUGUGGCUGGGGGUGAAAGGCCAAUCAAACCGGGAGAUAGCUGGUUCUCCCCGAAAGCUAUUUAGGUAGCGCCUCGUGAAUUCAUCUCCGGGGGUAGAGCACUGUUUCGGCAAGGGGGUCAUCCCGACUUACCAACCCGAUGCAAACUGCGAAUACCGGAGAAUGUUAUCACGGGAGACACACGGCGGGUGCUAACGUCCGUCGUGAAGAGGGAAACAACCCAGACCGCCAGCUAAGGUCCCAAAGUCAUGGUUAAGUGGGAAACGAUGUGGGAAGGCCCAGACAGCCAGGAUGUUGGCUUAGAAGCAGCCAUCAUUUAAAGAAAGCGUAAUAGCUCACUGGUCGAGUCGGCCUGCGCGGAAGAUGUAACGGGGCUAAACCAUGCACCGAAGCUGCGGCAGCGACGCUUAUGCGUUGUUGGGUAGGGGAGCGUUCUGUAAGCCUGUGAAGGUGGCCUGUGAGGGUUGCUGGAGGUAUCAGAAGUGCGAAUGCUGACAUAAGUAACGAUAAAGCGGGUGAAAAGCCCGCUCGCCGGAAGACCAAGGGUUCCUGUCCAACGUUAAUCGGGGCAGGGUGAGUCGACCCCUAAGGCGAGGCCGAAAGGCGUAGUCGAUGGGAAACAGGUUAAUAUUCCUGUACUUGGUGUUACUGCGAAGGGGGGACGGAGAAGGCUAUGUUGGCCGGGCGACGGUUGUCCCGGUUUAAGCGUGUAGGCUGGUUUUCCAGGCAAAUCCGGAAAAUCAAGGCUGAGGCGUGAUGACGAGGCACUACGGUGCUGAAGCGACAAAUGCCCUGCUUCCAGGAAAAGCCUCUAAGCAUCAGGUAACAUCAAAUCGUACCCCAAACCGACACAGGUGGUCAGGUAGAGAAUACCAAGGCGCUUGAGAGAACUCGGGUGAAGGAACUAGGCAAAAUGGUGCCGUAACUUCGGGAGAAGGCACGCUGAUAUGUAGGUGAAGCGACUUGCUCGUGGAGCUGAAAUCAGUCGAAGAUACCAGCUGGCUGCAACUGUUUAUUAAAAACACAGCACUGUGCAAACACGAAAGUGGACGUAUACGGUGUGACGCCUGCCCGGUGCCGGAAGGUUAAUUGAUGGGGUUAGCGGUAACGCGAAGCUCUUGAUCGAAGCCCCGGUAAACGGCGGCCGUAACUAUAACGGUCCUAAGGUAGCGAAAUUCCUUGUCGGGUAAGUUCCGACCUGCACGAAUGGCGUAAUGAUGGCCAGGCUGUCUCCACCCGAGACUCAGUGAAAUUGAACUCGCUGUGAAGAUGCAGUGUACCCGCGGCAAGACGGAAAGACCCCGUGAACCUUUACUAUAGCUUGACACUGAACAUUGAGCCUUGAUGUGUAGGAUAGGUGGGAGGCUUUGAAGUGUGGACGCCAGUCUGCAUGGAGCCGACCUUGAAAUACCACCCUUUAAUGUUUGAUGUUCUAACGUUGGCCCCUAAUCGGGGUUGCGGACAGUGUCUGGUGGGUAGUUUGACUGGGGCGGUCUCCUCCUAAAGAGUAACGGAGGAGCACGAAGGUUGGCUAAUCCUGGUCGGACAUCAGGAGGUUAGUGCAAUGGCAUAAGCCAGCUUGACUGCGAGCGUGACGGCGCGAGCAGGUGCGAAAGCAGGUCAUAGUGAUCCGGUGGUUCUGAAUGGAAGGGCCAUCGCUCAACGGAUAAAAGGUACUCCGGGGAUAACAGGCUGAUACCGCCCAAGAGUUCAUAUCGACGGCGGUGUUUGGCACCUCGAUGUCGGCUCAUCACAUCCUGGGGCUGAAGUAGGUCCCAAGGGUAUGGCUGUUCGCCAUUUAAAGUGGUACGCGAGCUGGGUUUAGAACGUCGUGAGACAGUUCGGUCCCUAUCUGCCGUGGGCGCUGGAGAACUGAGGGGGGCUGCUCCUAGUACGAGAGGACCGGAGUGGACGCAUCACUGGUGUUCGGGUUGUCAUGCCAAUGGCACUGCCCGGUAGCUAAAUGCGGAAGAGAUAAGUGCUGAAAGCAUCUAAGCACGAAACUUGCCCCGAGAUGAGUUCUCCCUGAGACUUAGAGUCUCCUGAAGGAACGUUGAAGACGACGACGUUGAUAGGCCGGGUGUGUAAGCGCAGCGAUGCGUUGAGCUAACCGGUACUAAUGAACCGUGAGGCUUAACCUU
rnacentral:rRNA from 1 species